ensembl:misc_RNA Y_RNA Y RNA
GGCUGGCCCAAAGGUAGUGAGUUAUCUCAAUUGAUUGUUCACAGUCAUUUGAACACAGAUUGAACUCAUUGUUCUACACUUGACCCCCUUCUCACUACUGUACUUGUGUAGUCUUAA